rnacentral:tRNA from 2 species
UCAGGCUUAGUUCAGUUGGUAGAGCGCCAGAUUUUGAAUCUGGAUGUCCCUCGUUCGAGCCGGGGAGCCUGAACCA